rnacentral:sRNA from 1 species
AGGACCAGUCAUCAAUAGGAGGAUGAGAUUGGGAGAGACACUCGGUGCAGGAGGCUGAGUGAGCAGGGGAGCACUAAGACCCAGGGGUAGUGGAGGACUGCAGCAACGAGCUGGAGGAGGAGAAGGAAGGCCCGGCGACUGAAGCAGGCAAAGGAGGAGGCACAGAUGGAGGUGGAGCAAUACCGCAGAGAGCGAGAGCACGAAUUCCAGAGCAAGCAGCAGGCGGUGAGUUGAGGCAGAGUCGGGAUGAGACCCCACUGCAAGUUGGUGGGUGCAUCUAGUGAGGCCAUGGGCUCCCAGGGGAACCUGUCUGCUGAGGUGGAGCAGGCUACAAGGCGCCAGGUGCAGGGCAUGCAGAGCUCCCAGCAGAGAAACCGAGAGCGUGUCCUGGCCCAGCUUCUUGGCAUGGUCUGCGACGUCAGGCCCCAGGUCCACCCCAACUACCGGAUUUCUGCCUAGGGCCACCGUAGGGCCUGACUCCUUCUGCCAGUUCCCUCCCUCAAAGAAAUCCUCCAAUCAAAAUCACCUCCCACCAUAAUCCCUGUCUUCUUUCCAUCCCCUAGAAAUCCUGGGAGGCAGGAUC